rnacentral:rRNA from 1 species
CAGCAGCCGCGGUAAUACGAAGGGGGCUAGCGUUGUUCGGAAUUACUGGGCGUAAAGCGCACGUAGGCGGAUAUUUAAGUCAGGGGUGAAAUCCCAGAGCUCAACUCUGGAACUGCCUUUGAUACUGUUUGUCUUGAGUUCGAGAGAGGUAAGUGGAACUGCGAGUGUAGAGGUGAAAUUCGUAGAUAUUCGCAAGAACACCAGUGGCGAAGGCGGCUUACUGGCUCGAAACUGACGCUGAGGCGCGAAAGCGUGGGGAGCAAACAGGAUUAGAUACCCCAGUAGUCCCUGUCUCUUAUAC